CAGGGACAGGAGAGAUGGAGGCU
rnacentral:miRNA from 1 species